rnacentral:rRNA from 1 species
UGGGGAAUAUUGCACAAUGGAGGGAACUCUGAUGCAGCGACGCCGCGUGAACGAAGAAGGCUUUCGAGUUGUAAAGCUCUUUUAUAUGGGAAGAUAAUGACGGUACCAUAAGAAAAAGCCCCGGCUAACUACGUGCCAGCAGCCGCGGUAAUACGUAGGGGGCUAGCGUUGUCCGGAAUCACUGGGCGUAAAGGGUUCGCAGGCGGAAAUGCAAGUCAGGUGUAAAAGGCAGUAGCUUAACUACUGUAAGCAUUUGAAACUGCAUAUCUUGAGAAGAGUAGAGGUAAGUGGAAUUUUUAGUGUAGCGGUGAAAUGCGUAGAUAUUAAAAAGAAUACCGGUGGCGAAGGCGACUUACUGGGCUCAUUCUGACGCUGAGGAACGAAAGCGUGGGUAGCAAACAGG